GAACUUUGAUUCAUCGUUGAAUAAAUUUGCUUGAACCGAGUUACAAUUUGCAAAUAUAGCGUGGUAUAAAUGUAACGAUAUAUAAAUCGAACGCUUCGUAAAGAAUUGAAAAAAGAAGGACUAUUUUCACGUAUAAACAGCCUGCAGAUUCGAUUUCAAAACUCUAUUCUUGGCCGAUUUUUCCUUGAAAAAAUGAUGCUUCUUUACAAAUAAGAAAUUUAAGAGAAAAUUCUUAAUUAUAUCUCGUUCAAUCAUAUCAUAUAUACGUAUCCACACGGAGAAUUAAUACCAACAACAAGCUGGAGAUCAAACGCAUGAAAAAUGAUCGAUAUCGUUUUCAUUUUUUUCCAAGUCAAUUUUAACUACGCAAACACUUACGAAGCUAAUCCUUCGCGGAUAAAACGAGGCAGUUUCGAAACGUUUAUUCUUUCGGUUAGAUAAACAACGGAGUCCGCAAUUUUUAUACGCGAUUCAUCGUGGCACCAGAAGCAAGAGUAAAAUAAACGGUGGAACCGGGGUCGUCGCAAAUCAGCUGCUUCCUUCUUCUACGGUUUAUUUUUCAAAGCUGAGAUUUUAUCUGUCCACGCUUGAGGAUUCGUCGAACCGUGCCUUCUGGCGAAUGAGGAAAAUUCUCUUCUCUAACCGCGCCUCUUCACUUUACUUUGCUUUUUUCACAUAUGUAGGUUGCAGUUCAUUUCUCCAAUUAUCUCGCUUCUUAGUUCUACCGUGUAUGUAUACACGAGAUGCAUACCUAUAUAUAGUAUAGUCUGUAAAAAUGCAGAAACGUUGGUCGAAAUGCGGUAGCAAUACCUAUACGAAUGUUAAUCUAGUUCAGGCUUUCAUUUAAAUUUUAAAAUCAAUUUAAUCAAAUUAAUAGUAAGCAACGACACUUACUGCGUCCUCAUUGAAUCAAGAAAUUAUACAUUUAAGUACCUAUUCAGUAUACAUACUAUAAAGUAUGAUAUUUAAAAUAGUGAUAUUUAGUGUGAUAUUUAGUGAUAUAAUAGUAAAAUAGUGAUAUUUACUAUUUAAAUAUCACUAUAAAAAUAGUGAUAGUAAAUAUCACUGUAAAAUAGUGAUAUUUACUAUUUAAAUAUCACUAUUUGUGUCGAUGUUAGAGUUAGAAAUCUUUCUAUUAAUUUAGAUUCUAUAAUUUUAAAGAAGUAAAACAAUCUUAUAAUUUAAAGGAAGCACAUAGAUCCAACUUGUAAUUAAACAAUUGGCGAAUCUGUAGAUGAAAAGGAAUGUUAAAUCGAAAGAAAAAUUUGCAAAAUAAUCGUUUUGUUAUUGCAUAUGGGCUUUUAGAAGUCAAUCCAAUGACGUUGUAAUAUUCCAUUAUAUAUAAUUACGCGAAUGGUAGAGAAUAAAAUCAUUAGAGUUCAAAAAAUUCGA